rnacentral:rRNA from 1 species
CCUACGGGCGGCAGCAGUGGGGAAUAUUGCGCAAUGGGCGAAAGCCUGACGCAGCGACGCCGCGUGAGGGAUGAAGGUCUUCGGAUCGUAAACCUCUGUCAGCAGGGAGGAACGGUCACUGUGCUAAUCAGCAGCGAAUUGACGGUACCUGCAAAGGAAGCACCGGCUAACUCCGUGCCAGCAGCCGCGGUAAUACGGAGGGUGCGAGCGUUAAUCGGAAUUACUGGGCGUAAAGCGCUCGUAGGCGGUAUGUCAAGUCAAGGGUGAAAUCCCCGGGCUCAACGUGGGAACUGCCUUUGAAACUGGCAAGCUGGAGUGUGUGAGAGGAUAGUAGAAUUCCAGGUGUAGGAGUGAAAUCCGUAGAUAUCUGGAGGAACAUCAGUGGCGAAGGCGACUAUCUGGCACAUAACUGACGCUGAGGAGCGAAAGCGUGGGUAGCAAACAGGAUUAGAUACCCCAGUAGUC